UACGUAGGGUGCAAGCGUUGUCCGGAAUUAUUGGGCGUAAAGAGCUCGUAGGCGGUUUGUCGCGUCUGCUGUGAAAACUCGGGGCUUAACCCCGGGCCUGCAGUGGGUACGGGCAGACUAGAGUGCGGUAGGGGAGACUGGAAUUCCUGGUGUAGCGGUGAAAUGCGCAGAUAUCAGGAAGAACACCUAUGGCGAAGGCAGCACUCUGGGACGGUACUGACGCUGAGACGCGAAAGCGUGGGGAGCGAACAGG
rnacentral:rRNA from 1 species